rnacentral:rRNA from 1 species
UACGUAGGGUGCAAGCGUUAAUCGGAAUUACUGGGCGUAAAGCGUGCGCAGGCGGUUUUGUAAGUCUGACGUGAAAUCCCCGGGCUCAACCUGGGAAUUGCGUUGGAGACUGCAAGGCUGGAGUCUGGCAGAGGGGGGUAGAAUUCCACGUGUAGCGGUGAAAUGCGUAGAGAUCGGGAGGAACAUCAGUGGCGAAGGCGGCCAUCUGGGACAACACUGACGCUGAGGUGCGAAAGCGUGGGGAGCAAACAGG